GUCAGAAAUACAAUCAGGCUGAUGUCACGGUCAGCUAGCAGUCACCUGUGUCUCAGGCUGUGUGAUUGGGACUGGACAGUUCUGCAAGUAGAACCCUUCCUUAAUGUGCAGGCCCUGGCACCACAGGAGUCAUUCCAACUUCACUCCUCUCUGUGGGUAAUGCACUGUCUCUUGUGGUCCCACUGUGCCCUGCCUCUCUCCUCACAACCAGUCUUCGCAGCACCCUCUCUGCAUGUGCAUGGUCCCCUGUGGGCACCCUUUCUGGCUCUGUGUGUCCAUCUUACUUCAGGCAGGUUUCAGACCCCAUCCUUAUGCUCCUCUGGAGACAGGACUCUGAUAUUUUUGAGGUCAGAGCUGUCUGAAGAUGGGGAAAGUGGAGAUAAAGUGGGUUUCCCACUGGUGGAAGAGAGUUGGUUCCCUGAACGAGUCAGAGCACAAAGAAAAUGAAAAGCUCCUGCAGCUCACAGUCUGGUUCCCUUCCAAUCAGGUUGUGGUUACCUGAGGACUGAGUCCCUGACACAGGAAGUUUCUGCUCUCUGCCCACUGCUUGGCUGCCUCCACUCCUCUGCCCUGUCUUUUCUGAUGAAUAGACCCUUUAGACACACGAAAGAUUCAGCUUCAGAGCCUGCAGUGAGCUGUAUUGUAAAGCAUUCUUCUCACAGCCCCUUUCUCAAAGAAGCCAAACUCUUUUGGCCUUUCCAAAAUUUAAAAUACAGCUCAAAUAUGCCAGAGCAUGUGUUAAGCAACGCUACAUAGUAGUUUUCCUAUAUCCAAGUUACUAAUUUUCUGAGUCCUGCCAACAUUUCCAUUUUAGUCUUGUAAGAUUAGAAAGAAUAAUAUGAAAAUAUGUGAAAAUUUCACAUUUUCCACACAGACCCAUGGGUACAGAUUGUUGAGGAGUGAAUUUUGUAGUUCCUGAAGUAUUUGCUUUUCCCUCCAGGGAUUGUAACCUUUUUUCUGUUUAUUGGAGAUUAAAAAGUGGAGAGGACUAACGUCACAGCAAUAUGUAUUAUUUUAGAAAUGUGCUUAAGUGGGAGAGAACGAGAGGUCAAGGAAUAUGAAACUAUGGAUUAAAAUGUGAUUUUAUCUCAGGUUAUAAUUGCAUUGAAGAAGCUUUGAUAGUGGACAAAGGAUAUUGAGAAAGAAGAGGCAGGCAGUGCCACUUUAUGCCAUUCACAGAGGAUGUGGCCCUCUGGAAAGGGUGUAUCUCCCUACCCUGAGCUUACUCUUCCCUCAGACCCUCUGUCAUCCAUGCUUUCCCCAUAACACUCAUGCUCACACACUGCACAUGCUCACACGUCACCACACAUAAGGCAUACGUCCACCCACACUCAUUCCCACUCACAGGAACAGAUGUACACACACACUCAUAUCCUCUCACCUCCACUCACAAUCACUCACAGUUGCACACAUAGGUGCACACUCACACACACAUACGCU
rnacentral:lncRNA from 1 species